rnacentral:lncRNA from 1 species
GUUAUUUGCUCAAAGUUGAAGUACAGUAUUAUAAGUGAUCCUGAUUCCAGAUUCUCCUAGAAUCAUGCUGAUUGAUUACUCAAAAAGACAACUCCCAAGGCAUUGUAUAGUUACCCGUUGAUUAUUAGAAGACCAAACAAACUUACCUUUUGUAACACUUAAGCGAACCAUUUGGAUGAGAUUUAGCUGAAGAAGAUGAGUGUUGGUGCCAUAAUAAGGCUGCGUCUUUACCACCUGGUUGACCAGGUUUUUACCCUUGGAAACAGCCCUUCUACUUGGAGAGGUGAGGCUGCAUAUGCUGAGCUCUCUAGAUCUGGCAUUGCAGGAGUCCUGUGCAUUGCUUGCUCAUUUAUUUUUUAAGAAAACAUCUCAAACUAGUAUAUGAUUGCAAUUGAAAAAUGCAUUUGAAAUUUGGUGCUGGACAUAUUAAACAAUGGUCUGGUGGUGG